AGUAAUCUAUACAGCACAAUGGUGGGUGGUGAUUGGCCAUGUGCUGAUAAUGUAACAUUUUAAAUACAGGUAAUUUAUUUUAACAUAAAGAUUGAUGCACUAUUCCCCAUCUACCUCACAGCCUCAUUGACAUCAACCAUUUGGUUUCUUGUAGGUGACAUAGUAGAAGUGGGUAUCCAGGAUGUAUUUGAAUAAGGAGAAGGCACCGGCCUUUGCAAACCAGCCAGGAAAGGAAAUUCCACACAUAGGGUGCAACAUGGAAGAAAGUACAGAAAUGGUUGUGAGAGAAGAUGAAAACAUGUCACUGCAUCUGGGAUUAUUGGCUGAGGAGAAAGAUAACACCACAAGAGUCGACAAGGACAUUAAUGGUCUAGAAGAGUGAGAGUGCUGUGUCUGGAGGCCCAGCUGAUUGAGAACCCCCUGCUAACUAGACAACAGACACUAAACACAUGAAUCCCGUGACUUGCAUUCCAGUGCCUAUGUGUACCCUCCUCCACCCCCAGCAGGGAACCUACAUCUCUCUUGGCCAGGGAGUCUCCUUUCUCUCUUACCCACACACUGCAUGAGACAGUACUGCCAGAAGAGGAGUUCUCGACGGACUUCCCUGUGCUCCUCCACACAGGAACUGGCUCCCUGCACACCUGAUCACAGCACCAUUUGGCCCAGCCACCCUGCUGUCUGGACAAAUUUCAGUGGCAUUGCAACCAACACAGCCAGAGUGACACUCCAGCCCACUCUAGCACUGGACCACAGCUAAGGAGUACAACAUGGCUCCCUACACCCAGCUCAGAGACAUAUGGAACUCUGAGCAAGUGCAAAAAUCUUGGGGGGAAGCAUUAUUGUGUCCCUUCUUUUGUGGCACUGAGCCCCUGGCAGCAGUCUUUAGGGGAUAUUUCUAAAUUAACUCACAAAUCGCUUUUCCAGUCAGCAUGCAGCAGCAACUGUCCAAUUAGCAGAUAUUCCCUCAUUUCCGUCUGCACUCCCAGAUUCAUUAUUCUAAAUCUAUCUCCAAAUUUGUCAAGGUUCCUUCCCCAUUCUGGACUCUAGGGUACAGAUGUGGGGACCUGCAUGAAAGACCCCCUAAGCUUAUUCUUACCAGCUUAAGUUAAAAACUUC